rnacentral:lncRNA from 1 species
UUGUUUAAAGAGAGAACUACUUCUCGUGUUGGGUCAGUCCUAACAUAUGUCUCCACAUGUGUCCACAUUAUUAGUUCAACAUCUCCAUGUCCAUGACUUGUGAAACAUAGUCAUCAACUAAUACAUGUGCUAGUCUAAUAUUCAUGUGUGUCCUCACAUGAACUCCGACUAGGGACAACUUUAGAAUAACCAUACAAGUAAAGAGUUUCACAUACAAUUCAAAUAAUUGCAAAUCAAUUCAAGUAGCCUUUAAUGGAUAUUCAAUGAACACAAUAUACAAAUCAUGGAUACAAAUGGAAUAUCAUCAUCUCUAUGAUUGCCUCUAGGGCAUACCUCCAACAGUCUCCCAC